AAUCAACGCUGGCGGCGCGCUUAACACAUGCAAGUCGAGCGAGAAAGGGGAGCAAUCCCUGAGUACAGCGGCGUACGGGUGAGUAACACGUGGGUAAUCUGCCUUUUAGUGGGGAAUAACCCUGGGAAACCGGGGCUAAUACCGCAUAAUCCUGUGAAGGGAAAGCAGCAAUGCGCUGAAAGAGGAGCCCGCGGCCGAUUAGCUAGUUGGUGAGGUAACGGCUCACCAAGGCGGNGAUCGGUAGCCGGCCUGAGAGGGCACACGGCCACACUGGCACUGAAACACGGGCCAGACUCCUACGGGAGGCAGCAGUGGGGAAUCUUGCACAAUGGAGGCAACUCUGAUGCAGCGACGCCGCGUGAGCGAUGAAGCCCCUCGGGGUGUAAAGCUCUUUCGGCAGGGACGAUAAUGACGGUACCUGAAGAAGAAGCUGCGGCUAACUACGUGCCA
rnacentral:rRNA from 1 species